ensembl:lncRNA
UUUUUUUUUUUUAUCAGCGUGACACUGUACUGUAUACGGAGAUAACAGAGAGGUACACUAGGCCAGCACUACCUGUUUGUCUCUAUGAUAUGAUGGAUUCAGGGGAUGAACCCUUGUUGCUGCCGGCAACAAGGAGCACAGGGGUAAAACUGAAGAAAGUCUGCUAUGGAGAACUGGAGAAUUGAAAUGCUUGAGUGAAGGCCUUCAGGGGAUUCUGGUGGAUGGUAGGAUGGAUUAACACACCGCCCUGGAGCCGUGGAGUGAUUGCAGGCUUCCUGCUUCCCUUCACUCUUUCUGACUACAUGUUCGUCUACUGCGAGGUCCUGGAUAUUGAUCUCUCCUAUAAUACCUUUGAAUGCACUGGAAAAAAAUCCCACAAUGAUCGCAAAGACCACGCAGCAUCGAUGUGCACUAAAUGGCGUCAGCUCUCAGCUCGUAAAGGCGGACGAACUCUCAGCCAACUUUGUCUACAAAUGUGUUCAGCAGCUAAUCAUCCACACAGUCACACCAUCUUUCUCACCUCGUUCACCAUGACGACUGCCUACGCCUCCAACGCCUUCACCCAUGUCCUGACACAACAGCACUUUCACUCUUAUCCCAGCUCUUGACGCAUAACAAACAAGUGAAAUUGUAUAAAGAUCAGCUUUACCAUUUAAAUGGAAAUUUCCUUUGUGCCAUAUGUUAAAGUCAAGCAGCAAUUCAGCAGUUUAUUUCAUUCAUGCUGGCUUUCAAAUAUGUCAUCAGGGCUUCAUAACAAAGCAGCAAACAUACUGAGUUGUCAAUAUAAAACACGAAAUUAAAAGUCUUGAACGUUCGAUAUACUUUUUGAAGUGGUAAAGAAAGGCUGUGGGCCUGUAAUUGAGCCUGAUGUUGACAGAUGUUUAGCAGCUUAGCAUCACAGAAAGCCAGAGAUGAGGCACACAUGAUGAAAUAAGUUGUAACAGCAUCCAAGAGAGGGAAUCUCCUGAAGGCCUCAUGUUUAUU